CCAGACGUUAGGUUCACAGGUUUUAAUGUGAAAGUCAGAGACCGGAAGUUCAAUCUUUCCCUGAGUAGCAUGCAUGACGCCGGUGAGCUGAGCACGCAAGUUAGGCAGAGGAGAAAAAAAGGAAAAUCACGCCAGGAAAAUCUCAUAGAGUUAGAGAAUGGAGGCAUCAACAAGAAGAAUCCCACUGAGGCACCUGAAGCCGGCAAGGCCCCUGCGUCGCUGUGUCCACUUUGUCGAGCCUCAAAUAAAUGCUGCGGCAGGUGAACAGCCCCUGAUGGAGCAGGAGACUACUGUUGGUAUAGACCAGUUCUUCAAGAUUUUCAACCUCCAUAAACAGAAAAAAGAAAGAAUAUGUUAUACGAGGGAUUUUUUAAUUGGUUUGGCCAGCUGCCCUGAAGCCAAGAAGAGGCCAGAAUACCUACCAGACCAUCCUGUUGUUUUAUCCGAGGCAAGGGAUCCAGGGCAACAAGAGCUGAGAGUAACACUGUGGAAUGGUGUAAAAGAAGACAUAUGAGUGAAUGGAAAGAGGAUGGCACAACCUUAACCCUAUCAGGGCAUGGCUGACUACAUCCACUGACAGGAUGGGCAAGGAGAACAUUAAAAAAGAUGGCAGAAAGGCUUCCCAUAUCUUGAGAAACUUGCACAAGUCUUGUUUACAGCAAACGGGGUUUGCACAGUGUUGUUGGCUUCUCUGCCUUAAUUUAUUUUAACCUAUAACCUUUUGCAUGUUGCUUAAAUAUUUGUUUUUCCUGCUUUUUUGCUGUGUGGAAAAGUUUUUUUUUUUUAAUUGUGUGUGUUUAAAACAAUUGCUUUAAAAAGCAAGCCAAAAUUGCCAUUGUUUUCUUUCUGACCUGACUUCAUAUAAGUCAAGUGGAAAGUAUUGGAUAAGUAAUUCACUGACAUUGUCUCUUUGUGAUGCGUGCAAAAAACUGUUGCUUGCAAUAAAGAACAACAAAAAAAAAUGACCUUGAACAUGCA